GUAGUAAAUUCGAUGUAAAUUCCAUCGUUAAUUGUCGAAAAUAUAUGUCGUCGUUAAUCCGUCGUUAAUUCUGUCGCAGUUCUACUGUUUUUUUGUAGUGAAUUCACAAUCAACUUCUUGUAGGUCGGUGAUAAUUUUAACCAAUAGGUGGGGAAUUUGAAAAUGGAGAACCGUUCUCGAUCCUUUUUUGAAAGAAAAAAAAAUAUUCUUUUACCAAAAUUAUAAUACAAUCGUUAUAUUAAUGAAAUGGAAGAG
rnacentral:lncRNA from 1 species